rnacentral:misc_RNA from 1 species
GACCUGCGGAGGAUCAUUAUCGUGGGGACUUGACUGUCCCUACCGAGAUAGCACCCUCUGUUUUACCGAGCACCUUCUGUUUCCUCGGCGGGUUCGCCCGCCAAUGGGGACCACACAAAACCUACUUGCAGUAUCAGUAGUAAACGUCUCAAACAAAACUAUUAAAACUUUCAACAACGGAUCUCUUGGUUCUGGCAUCGAUGAAGAACGCAGCGAAAUGCGAUAAGUAAUGCGAAUUGCAGAAUUCCACGAGUCAUCGAAUCUUUGAACGCACAUUGCGCCCUUUGGUAUUCCUUAGGGCAUGCCUGUUCGAGCGUCAUCUAACCCCUCAAGCACUGCUUGGUGUUGGGCGUUUGUCCCCCCCUCUGGUGUGGGACUCGCCUAGAAUUCAUUGGCAGCCUCCGUAUCGGGCUAUCGAGCGCAGCAGAUCAGCGCCUCGGGCCCGGCAUGCAGGCGUCCAGGAAGCUACUCCAACCUUU